rnacentral:lncRNA from 1 species
GGAAACCAGCUUAUUAAAGGGAACCAUGGAAACAGGAAACAUUUUCAAAAGGAAAUGGAUCUUUUGGUGCAGUGGAGGCAUGAUAUCUAGUUUUUGUGAGGGCAGCAUCCAUCUACAUCAACUCUGUGCCCUGAAGAGAAUGGAAAGAAGAGGAAAAAAAAGCAGUGGGAGACAAGUUUAUGUGAAGGGGCAGUGUAUUAUAAAACUACCUACAUCAAACCUCUUGCUGUCAUGUAUAUUUUCUCCUGGCCAACUGACACACAAUGAUGGUGAGAAGAAUCCUGUGGCUAGCAUUUUUGUGGCACCAAGGGACAGAAGUAAACUUGAUUAAUAUAAGACAUAUUUAAAAUGUCUGCACUCCUAGUUUUAUAAUAAAAUAAAAUUCUGAAUUAACA